AUAUCUUUUUAAGUAGUCCAGAGAGGCAACAAGAGAUAUAAAUCUUCUAUAAAUCUAGAAGAGAUAUUUUAAUGCACUUGUUUGCCUGGGCAAAUAAGUGUUUUUUAU
rfam:Gemella asaccharolytica strain KA00071 genomic scaffold Scaffold320, whole genome shotgun sequence.